UAAUGCAGGUCAGUCUAGACGCAAUGUUUGAUGUACAGAUCAAGCGAAUACAUGAGUACAAAAGACAGUUGCUUAAUAUCCUCGGCAUUAUCCAUCGAUAUGAUUGUAUCAAGGGCAUGAGGCCUCAGGAACUGGUAGCAUGAAAUUUCUUAUGAAUGGAUGUCUACUCUUAGCUACAGCUGAUGGUUCAACAAUUGAAAUUUUUGAAGAAAUUGGGGCAGAAAAUAUGUUUUUGUUUGGUGCAAAGCUGGAUGAAGUUCCCAUCUUGCGUGAGAGAGGACCCAACACGAAAGUGAAUCUGCAAUUUGCACGGGUUGUGAGGUAGUACCUGUUUUCCCUUUUCACUGCCAGUUCAUUAUCAUCUGAUCAUCAAUAUCCCAACAGAUGCUUGCCACAGCUAAUUUAGUGAACUAGUCACAUGUAAUUUCUAACUGACAAUAAAAUUAGCUUUCAGAUAGAUAGUUCGGCUUACCGAAUCAAAUUUGCCGAAGUAUUCAAUAUUGUGCUUCUGUCCAGCCUUUGUUUUGGACGGCCAAAAAAUUAACAUUCUGAUGCUUGCUCGAAGCAUACCUUGAUAGGUUUUCCUUAGAAUAGGAUCAACCUAUUAGACCCAAGCACAAUAUUACAAAGAGUGGAGAAUGGUCCCAGAAGAUGUGAGAGCUCCAUUGCGACACUAUCUUUUGGAACAUUUUGACAUCAACUUGAAUGAUGAGACAACUAAAAAAUGCAUUGAUGAACAAAUGAGAAAAGCUUGGAAGGGUCAUUGUGGGUAAUCAACCAACUUAUGAAGAGUUAGUAGAACGACUUAAUGAUACAACUUCCCGCCUUAAUGCUACUAACGAACAACUUAGUGUAGUUGUGGAUAUACUUCAUCAUAAUAAUUUGAUGGCACCGCCUCCACCACCUCCAACAGACCAAGCUUCAGAUGCAAAUUUAAGAGAAUCGCCAUCUAUUUCAGUUCGGGAGUCACAAGAUGAUUCAUAGUUUAUUUACAUUAAUUUACUAAGGAAUGAACUUUAUGAAGUUUUUUUUUUUAUUUUGGUAAGGGUAACCUUAAAAUGAUAACUUUAUGACUUAUUUUAGUAUUGAACAUUAUAAAUAAUUUUAGCAUUAAACAUUUUAUUAUUGAAUGGUUUUUUUCUAGUUUAUUUCUAAUAUAUAACAUUUAUAAAUAACUGUUAUUAUCUUUUA